ACGCAGGCGCAGUUGGGCGGUGACGGGGUGACGCUCGAAGCGUGGGCCGCGACUCUCACGGAUCCGGUUCCGCCCUCCCUCUGGUUGCCGACCCUCCGGGGCUAGCGCCUGAGAUCCCUUUCCCAGAGUGCUCUGCGCUGUGAAGAAGCGGCUCCCGGGGACUGGGGGCAUUUUGUGUUGGCUGGAGCCGGAGUAACAAGAUGGCGGCGUCGGCGGAGUGACAGGAGUCCCUCCGGGCGGGAGCCGGCGGCAGUGGUGGCAGCGGUAUCGCCGCCCUAAACCACCGCUCCCCUUUUCCAGCCCGCGACGUCGCCGUGAAAGCGAGGCAGCGGCGGCCGCCCAGGAACAAGUGGCCCAGCCUGGUAACCGCGAGAACCCCCUCAUAAACUGCGGCCUGGCAAAAAGAAGCCGGACUGAGCGGCGGUGAUCAGGUUCCCCUUGACCGAGUCUGGGCCCUGUAACGCCUGGAAAGAGUCAGCGCUUGCCGUUUCCUGCCGCCCUCCUCCGCAGCCUGCUCAGUGGACGAGCCCCAGAGGCCUCUGUUCUCCCCUCAGAGGUGUCGGGGCUUGGCCCCAGCCUCCAUCUUCGUCUCUCAGGAUGGCGAGCAGCAGCGGCUCCAAGGCCGAAUUCAUUGUCGGAGGGAAAUAUAAACUGGUACGGAAGAUCGGGUCUGGCUCCUUCGGGGACAUUUAUCUGGCGAUCAACAUUACCAACGGCGAGGAAGUGGCAGUGAAGCUAGAAUCUCAGAAGGCCAGGCAUCCCCAGUUGCUGUACGAGAGCAAACUCUAUAAGAUCCUUCAAGGUGGGGUGGGCAUCCCCCACAUACGGUGGUAUGGUCAGGAAAAAGACUACAAUGUGCUAGUCAUGGAUCUUCUCGGACCCAGCCUUGAAGACCUCUUCAAUUUCUGUUCAAGAAGGUUCACAAUGAAAACUGUACUUAUGUUAGCUGACCAGAUGAUCAGUAGAAUUGAAUAUGUGCAUACAAAGAAUUUUAUACACAGAGACAUUAAACCAGAUAACUUCCUAAUGGGUAUUGGGCGUCACUGUAAUAAGUGUUUAGAAUCUCCAGUGGGGAAGAGGAAAAGAAGCAUGACUGUUAGUACUUCUCAGGACCCAUCUUUCUCAGGAUUAAACCAGUUAUUCCUUAUUGAUUUUGGUUUGGCCAAAAAGUACAGAGACAACAGGACAAGGCAACACAUACCAUACAGAGAAGAUAAAAAUCUCACUGGCACCGCCCGAUAUGCUAGCAUCAAUGCACAUCUCGGUAUUGAACAGAGUCGCCGAGAUGACAUGGAAUCAUUAGGAUAUGUUUUGAUGUAUUUUAAUAGAACCAGCCUGCCCUGGCAAGGACUAAAGGCUGCGACAAAAAAGCAAAAAUAUGAAAAGAUAAGUGAAAAGAAGAUGUCCACUCCUGUUGAAGUUUUAUGUAAGGGGUUUCCUGCAGAAUUUGCCAUGUACUUAAACUAUUGUCGUGGGCUGCGCUUUGAGGAAGCCCCGGAUUACAUGUAUCUGAGGCAGCUAUUCCGCAUUCUUUUCAGGACUCUGAACCACCAGUAUGACUACACAUUUGAUUGGACAAUGUUAAAGCAGAAAGCAGCACAGCAGGCAGCCUCUUCAAGUGGGCAGGGUCAGCAGGCCCAAACCCCCACAGGUCUUAAAGAUGAGAAGUUGGAUCCAGUGAGUUAGUAUGUUUCCUUGGAAAAAAAAUUGUAAUUAAACUUAAGUUUAAUCCUUAAUUUUGUAUUGUAACUAUUUUUCAUAAAAGCAACUUUAAAUAUCUUACACAGUUUUCGGGGCACUUGGCUGGCUCAGUAGAGCAUAUGGCUCUUGAUCUCAGGGCCUGAGUUUUAGCCCCACUUUGGGGGUAGAGUUCACCUAAAAAAAAUAAAAAAUCUUAUAAAAUUUUCACGGCAAUCAUAGACACAGGGUUUAUAUAAAUUACUACAUAAACAUCAACUUGUAAAAUAUUGAAAAAUUGGAUUUUUCAUAAAAUGCAUCAUUUACCAUUGACUGCUUUCAGAGAGACAUUUUCAGGUGGUAUAUUUUGAUUCCAAGCAAAAUACUGCUUGCUACUAAAAUGUGCCAGGCCCUGGAAUACAAACAAAAUUGUGUUUGAUCUUUGGCUUCUCGAAACGUUUGUUUUGUCUUGGGUCUAGAACUUAGUGCCCCAGACAGAUCUCAUGUGAAAUCCCCUCAGUAUAAAGCCAUGAAUGUGUACGGCAGGUUUGAAGGUGGCAUGAAAUAAGUUUGGGGAGCCUACUUCCCUAACCCCAGCCGUAUUUAUCCAGACCAUCUAUUGAGAAAUCUCCUAUGAAGUCUGGACUUUGAAGACAGUCCCUUUAGGUGACUUACUCCUUAUUUCAAUCUCUAUGUAAUUAGGGUGUUUAAAAGCAUGUUAUUCUCUUAGGGUCCACUACAGUCAUUUUUUUAUUCAAGGAAGAGCUCCCCUGCAGCUCAACUCUUCACUAAUUCCAAGAAAUCCUUUCAGUGACGAUAACAUCAUAUAAUACAUUUUUCUGGUUAAAACUUCUAGAAGGCACUUACCUAAUACAUCCUAUCAGUUUUUGUUCACGGAAUUAUAUGCUGAGGUUUUCCAAAGCAGAGAAUUUGGUUUCUUAAAUGUAUCGUCAGCACAUGAAACUGUAUACUGCAGGGAUAUCUAUUCCUGGAAAAAUCCCCGGAACUGGUUGACAUAUUAAUAUAUUUUACGUUACUAGUUUUAGUUUUUGAAAAUUGUAUAUGGGAUGUUUCUUCCAUGGAAAGGUGUGUGUGUAAUAAGUUUCAGCAGUUCACUGUGAAUGUUCAAAAAGUCUUUUAAAGUCUGACUUACUCAGCUAAGAUGGGUUUAUUAUGUGUAAUAGACUUCUAUCCUAAUUACUUUUCUAAAGAAAAGAUCUUUUGAAGUACUCCAUUCCAAGGCCCAUCAAAAGACUAAGAAAUAAGGUGUUUCUUGUUUCUUGUAAAGCCGACUAUGAUAUGUACUAAUUUUCGGUGCUCUUAUGCCACAAGAUUAUAAUUAGUUUUUAUACAUGUUAAAGAGAAAAAUAAAAGAUUCACAUCUGAGACACUUCCAAAUUCAUUUCGCUUCCUUUUAUUCAACUGUAUGUGAUUAUCAGGAACAUUUAGGAAGUACUAAAGGGAAAAGGAAAUCUUUUUAGGACAUUCAGAAUCCAGUUGAGUUGACCAUUUCUUUAGUUGAGGUCAGAGAUGGGGAGAAUUUCAGAAGGUAGUGAAGCCAAAGUUGGAUCCUUACAUAAUUCUGUUAUCAUCUUAGUCCCUCUGUUCACUACUCCAAGCCAUUGAUAUUAAGCAUAGUUUUAUCAUAAUCACAUACGUGGAUGUCAGAUUGUUGACAGUCAAAAAAUAGAAAUUUUUUUCUAUCACAUUCUCCUACCAUGUCCAUGGUCUUCCUUGCAUUACCUUCCAGUGUUUACUGGAAUUCACCUACCAUUUAUGUCUAGCUUAACUUUUUCUGACUUCACCAAUUGCUGCUAGGAACGUGGCUGGUCACUCAGCAACGUAACCCAAAUCACAGGGGAAGACCUUGAAAUAAUCUGGAGACUGAUCUUCUCUGAAUACACUCAAUGUAAAGAAGUGCCAGGGAGCCGCAUCUGCUUGCUGAAAUUUUUGUCAGCUUUUUUCAUUGUGGACACUACCACUGGAGAGAAAAGAGCUCAGUAACCCAACAGGAAAUGAAGACGAGUGUGCAAGAAUUGAUUUGUGGUCAUCUGAAUGAAUCUCACAUCUCCAAGGCUGGCUGGACUUACCAAACAUGAACUUGUCAGAAAAUCUGGACAAUACCACAACAGUCAGAAGACCUAGAGGAGUACAGUGUUGCUGUGACUCAGUGGUGUAUAAUGCAGACAGACCACCUACCAGUUGGGGAAGGAAUCAAUUGUAACAGGAGCAAAGGGAUCCCUUCCUUAUUUUAACUGUUGUUGCAGUGAAGAUGGGUGUUUGGACUUUUAGAAGCCAGGAGACACCACCUAAAUUACAAGAUAAAAACCAAGGAAUCAAUGCACACUGGAAAAAGGAAUGCACUUGAAGAUUGAAUGUUGAAUACUUUGAAUGCUCCCAUUGAGAUUUUUGCUACAUAAACUUGAGUAACAUCUUAGGACAAUUCUCUGGAGAAACAUUGAUCCCUGGGUGGAGUAUCCUACCAUUGGCCAAUCUGAAGAGUUACAUCUGGAUCUGACUGCUCUAUUCCUCCAGGAAUAUUUUUAGGCUAGCCUCUGUCUGAUUCCUAAGCAAUUGUAAUCAUUAACUGACCCAGUAAUUUCUCAAAUAUCAGAUGAACAGACACAAUUCUUACCUAGAUCUAAUUUUUAUCCCUAUUAAAGACACAAGAGUGUUCUAAUAUUUUGA